rnacentral:rRNA from 1 species
GAUGAACGCUGGCGGCGUGCCUAAUACAUGCAAGUAGAACGCUGAAGGAGGAGCUUGCUCUUCUGGAUGAGUUGCGAACGGGUGAGUAACGCGUAGGUAACCUGCCUGGUAGCGGGGGAUAACUAUUGGAAACGAUAGCUAAUACCGCAUGACAACAGUUAUUGCAUGAUAACUGUUUAAAAGGGGCAACUGCUCCACUACCAGAUGGACCUGCGUUGUAUUAGCUAGUUGGUGAGGUAACGGCUCACCAAGGCGACGAUACAUAGCCGACCUGAGAGGGUGAUCGGCCACACUGGGACUGAGACACGGCCCAGACUCCUACGGGAGGCAGCAGUAGGGAAUCUUCGGCAAUGGACGGAAGUCUGACCGAGAAACGCCGCGUGAGUGAAGAAGGUUUUCGGAUCGUAAAGCUCUGUUGUAAGAGAAGAACGAGUGUGAGAGUGGAAAGUUCACACUGUGACGGUAUCUUAACAGAAAGGGACGGCUAACUACGUG